rnacentral:siRNA from 1 species
UAAAGACGUCAGGUAGCUCA